rnacentral:rRNA from 1 species
AACGAACGCUGGCGGCAGGCUUAACACAUGCAAGUCGAACGCCCCGCAAGGGGAGUGGCAGACGGGUGAGUAACGCGUGGGAAUCUACCUAGUUCUACGGAACAACUGAGGGAAACUUCAGCUAAUACCGUAUACGCCCUACGGGGGAAAGAUUUAUCGGAAUUAGAUGAGCCCGCGUAAGAUUAGCUAGUUGGUGGGGUAAUGGCCUACCAAGGCGACGAUCUUUAGCUGGUCUGAGAGGAUGAUCAGCCACACUGGGACUGAGACACGGCCCAGACUCCUACGGGAGGCAGCAGUGGGGAAUAUUGGACAAUGGGCGCAAGCCUGAUCCAGCCAUGCCGCGUGAGUGAUGAAGGCCCUAGGGUUGUAAAGCCCUUUCGGCGGGGAAGAUAAUGACGGUACCCGCAGAAGAAGCCCCGGCUAACUUCGUGCCAGCCGCCGCUGUAACAC